rnacentral:rRNA from 2 species
GGUUAAGUUACAAAGGGCGCACGGUGGAUGCCUUGGCACUAGGAGCCGAUGAAGGACGGAACUAAUACCGAUAUGCUUCGGGGAGCUAUAAGUAAGCUUUGAUCCGGAGAUUUCCGAAUGGGGGAACCCAGUACACAUCAGUGUAUUGCUUGUCAGUGAAUACAUAGCUGGYCKGCGGCAGACGCGGGGAACUGAAACAUCUCAGUACCCGCAGGAAGAGAAAGAAAACUCGAUUCCCAUAGUAGCGGCGAGCGAAGUGGGAAGAGCCCAAACCGAGAAGCUUGCUUCUCGGGGUUGUAGGACUGGACAUUGGAGUUACCAAAGUCCGACGUAGUCGAAGUCAGCUGGAAAG